rnacentral:lncRNA from 1 species
GAUGAGACGAGCAGUGAACACUUAAAUCUUAGUUUUUUGCUUUGUAACACAUUCUGCCAUAAAACUCCACAAUGUUCACAGCUCUGCUUCUCUCUCUGCUAUUCUGCACAUCUUUGCAUUCUGCAGAGAUUUCUAUACCGGAAGAGGGCACCCCUGAGACUGAACGUAGACAGAUGAAUGGAGGCGUGCAAGAUUCAGGCUGUGAAGUCAUUGCUCUCACAACCCCGGCAACUCCAACAAGAAUACCUGAGAAGACCACGCUCACACCUCCUAGUACCUCCACACUGCCAAAAUCUCACCCUGUUCCAGGCACGUAUGUUGUACCGCUUGUACCCAUCUACCCCUGGGGUUCAUCCAGAACUCCCCAUUAUUACAUCAUCAGAGGAAAUCAAUACGCAACAAACGGACGUUUGGGAGCACCUGGCCAUCAGCUUUAUUGGUUCGUUCCACUCGAAGGUCUCAGGCGUCACCAUGUCUCUCAAGUAUUUCGAAACAUGAACUCUGAAGAGUCAGUAUCUGAUGACUGAUUAAAGACGGAUUGUAAUCAAGAACCCAGUAUAAUUCAUACAAGUCUAACUUUUGUUACCAUGGCAACUUGUUCGGAAUCAUCCAUCUGCUGUCUUCCUCUUCUAUUAAAAUUGAUUUCCAGGAAACACGUUUCUUUGUCUAAUUCCUGCUUAAAUAAAGGAUUUUAGUUUCCUGUUGCCA